CUCGAUGAUUGAUGUAUACUACUUGUUCGCACCUUACAUUUGCACGGCGUUUUAAUUUAAUUAUUAAGUAACGGCAGUUUCGUAAUAGGGCGUGUCAAGCCCCGUCACACCGAGGUCUGCUGAACAAGUGCAGGUAAACAGCGACCUCAGUCUAUGUGAUCGCCGUAAUGCAUAGUGUCAACAGUGCAUCCCAAUUUAAGUUAUACAAUAUAGCACUGAAGAUGGUCACUCAGUGACAGAAAAUCGAUUCUGCAAUAGUAAAAAU